rnacentral:rRNA from 1 species
AUUGAACGCUGGCGGCAGGCUUAACACAUGCAAGUCGAGCGGGGUGAUGGUGCUUGCACUAUCACUUAGCGGCGGACGGGUGAGUAAUGCUUAGGAAUCUGCCUAUUAGUGGGGGACAACAGCUCGAAAGGGAUGCUAAUACCGCAUACGUCCUACGGGAGAAAGCAGGGGAUCACUUUUGACCUUGCGCUAAUAGAUGAGACUAAGUCGGAUUAGCCAGUUGGUGGGGUAAAGGCCUACCAAGGCGCCGAUCUGUAGCGGGUCUGAGAGGAUGAUCCGCCACACUGGGACUGAGGCACGGCCCAGACUCCUACGGGAGGCAGCAGUGGGGAAUAUUGGACAAUGGGGGGAACCCUGAUCCAGCCAUGCCGCGUGUGUGAAGAAGGCCUUAUGGUUGUAAAGCACUUUAAGCGAGGAGGAGGCUCUUUUGGUUAAUACCCAAGAUGAGUGGACGUUACUCGCAGAAUAAGCACCGGCUAACUCUGUGCCAGCCGCCGCCGUAA